rnacentral:rRNA from 1 species
UGAAGUAAGUAAGGGCGUACGGUGAAUGCCUUGGUGCCAACAGGCGAAGAAGGACGCGGCAAGCUGCGAAAAGCCUCGGGAAGCUGCAAGCAAGCGAUGAUCCGGGGAUAUCCGAAUGGGGUAACCUGAUCGAGGCAAUACUCGAUCGUUCAUACCUGAAUACAUAGGGUAUGAAACGCGAAACCCGCUGAAGUGAAACAUCUCAGUAAGCGGAGGAAAAGAAAGAGAAAUCGAUUCCGUAAGUAGUGGCGAGCGAAAGCGGAUGGAGCCCAAACCGAAGGUAUUCCUUCGGGGUUGUAGGACCACGUCAUAUUCGACCAUACUGGAUAGUAGAACAGCCUGGAAAGGCUGGCCGGAGAAGGUGAAAGCCCUGUAGACGAAAUCCAGAGUGGGAAUUAGUGGUAUCCUGAGUAAUACAUCACACGUGGAACGAUGUAUGAACCCGCGCGGACCACCGCGCAAGGCUAAAUACUAGUUGGCGACCGAUAGUGAACAAGUACCGCGAGGGAAAGGUGAAAAGAACCGCUGUGAGCGGAGUGAAAUAGAACCUGAAACCGUAUGUCUACAAAGUGUCAGAGCAGAGCAAUCUGCGAUGGCGUGCCUUUUGUUUAAUGAGUCUGCGAGUCAGUGUUUGUGGCAAGACUAAGGGCUUCCGGCCCGGAGUCGCAGCGAAAGCAAGUCCGAACAGGGCGCAAUAAGUCGCAGGUACUGGACCCGAAGCGGAGGUGACCUACCCUUGGCCAGGUUGAAGCAUGGGUAAAACCAUGUGGAGGACCGAACAGGUGAACGUUGAAAAGUUCUCUGAUGAGCUGAGGGUAGGAGUGAAAGGCUAAUCAAACCCCGUGAUAGCUGGUUCUCUUCGAAAUGCAUUUAGGUGCAGCGUCACGUGCUGAUGCGCGGGGGUAGAGCACUGACAAGGCUAGGGGGCACACCCGCUUACCAAACCUUAUCAAACUCCGAAUACCGUGCAAUGGAACGUGGCAGUGAGACAGUGGGGGAUAAGCUUCAUUGUCGAGAGGGAAACAACCCAGACCAGCAGCUAAGGUGCCUAAAUAACGCUCAGUGGAAAGGAUGUGGGAUUACACAGACAGUGAGGAUGUUGUCUGAGAGGCAGACACCAUUUAAAAAAUGCGUAAUAGCUUACUCAUCGAGUGAUCCUGCGCCGAAAAUGAUUGGCGAUCAAGCGUUAUACCGAAGCUCUGGACUUUGCCGCAAGGCAGAGUGGUAGAAGAGCGUUGCAUGCGCGUCGAAGGGCGAUGGCGACUGACCCUGGAGCACAUGCAAGUGAGUAUGCAGACAUGAGUAACGUUAAGCCGGGUGAAAUCCCCGGCCGCCGUAAACCCGAGGUUUCCAGGGCAACGUGUUUCGUCCCUGGGUUAGCCGGGACCUAAGCCGAGGCCGAGAGGCGUAGGCGAUGGACAUCAGGUUAAUAAUCCUGAGCUCGCAACCCUUAAACUGGGGGGACGCAUGAGAAAAGAUGACUAGGUUAUUGAAUUCCGAGUUGAGUCCACGGACUCAGCGCAUCAUUGGAUCGAGUGCCAAGAAAAGCCCCAGCGUAUGCUAAGCGACCCGUACCGCAAACCGACACAGGUGGGUGGGUAGAAUAUACCAAGGCGUAAGAGUGAAACCUGGUUAAGGAACUCGGCAAAUUAGCCCCGUAACUUCGGAAGAAGGGGUGCCUGCAGCGAUGCAGGCCGCAGAGAAAUGGCCCAACCGACUGUUUAUCAAAAACACAGCACUCUGCAAAGACGCAAGUCGAAGUAUAGGGUGUGACACGUGACCAAUGCCGAAAGAUUAAGGCAAGGGGUUAGCCGCAAGGCGAAGCUCUAAACCCAAGUCCCGGUGAAUGUCGGCCGUAACUAUAACGGUCCUAAGGUAGCGAAAUUCCUUGUCGGGUAAGUUCCGACCUGCACGAAUC